rnacentral:rRNA from 1 species
GCAAGUCGAACGGUGACGAAUGGAGCUUGCUCUGUUCUUACCAGUGGCGAACGGGUGAGUAACACGUGAGUAACCUGCCCCUGACUCUGGAAUAACUUCGGGAAACCGAAGCUAAUACUGGAUAUGACACAGAGCUGCAUGGUUUCUGUGUGGAAGGUUUUUCGGUUGGGGAUGGACUCGCGGCCUAUCAGCUUGUUGGUGAGGUAAUGGCUCACCAAGACGACGACGGAUAGCCGGCCUGAGAGGGCGAUC